CAGUAGCCGCGGUAAUACGAAGGGCGCAAGCGUUAAUCGGAAUUACUGGGCGUAAAGCGUGCGUAGGCGGUGAGUUAAGUCUGCUGUGAAAUCCCCGGGCUCAACCUGGGAAUGGCAGUGGAUACUGGCUCGCUAGAGUGUGUCAGAGGAUGGUGGAAUUCCCGGUGUAGCGGUGUGAUGCGUAGAGAUCGGGAGGAACAUCAGUGGCGAAGGCGGCCAUCUGGGACAACACUGACGCUGAGGCACGAAAGCGUGGGGAGCAAACAGGAUUAGAUACCCUGUAGUCCCUGUCUCUUAUACA
rnacentral:rRNA from 1 species